AACAGGAUUAGAUACCCUGGUAGUCACGCUGUAAACGAUGUCGAUUUGGAGGUUGUGCCCUUGAGGCGUGGCUUCCGGAGCUAACGCGUUAAAUCGACCGCCUGGGGAGUACGGCCGCAAGGUUAAAACUCAAAUGAAUUGACGGGGGCCCGCACAAGCGGUGGAGCAUGUGGUUUAAUUCGAUGCAACGCGAAGAACCUUACCUACUCUUGACAUCCAGAGAACUUUCCAGAGAUGGAUUGGUGCCUUCGGGAACUCUGAGACAGGUGCUGCAUGGCUGUCGUCAGCUCGUGUUGUGAAAUGUUGGGCUAAGUCCCGCAACGAGCGCAACCCUUAUCCUUUGUUGCCAGCGGUUCGGCCGGGAACUCAAAGGAGACUGCCAGUGAUAAACUGGAGGAAGGUGGGGAUGACGUCAAGUCAUCAUGGCCCUUACGAGUAGGGCUACACACGUGCUACAAUGGCGUAUACAAAGAGAAGCGACCUCGCGAGAGCAAGCGGACCUCAUAAAGUACGUCGUAGUCCGGAUUGGAGUCUGCAACUCGACUCCAUGAAGUCGGAAUCGCUAGUAAUCGUAGAUCAGAAUGCUACGGUGAAUACGUUCCCGGGCCUUGUACACACCGCCCGUCACACCAUGGGAGUGGGUUGCAAAAGAAGUAGGUAGCUUAACCUUCGGGAGGGCGCUUACCACUUUGUGAUUCAUGACUGGGGUGAAGUCGUAACAAGGUAACCGUAGGGGAACCUGCGGCUGGAUCACCUCCUU
rnacentral:rRNA from 1 species